GACGAACGCUGGCGGCGUGCUUAACACAUGCAAGUCGAACGGAAAGGCCCCCUUGUGGGGUGCUCGAGUGGCGAACGGGUGAGUAGCACGUGAGUAACCUACCCUCGACUAUGGGAUAACAUCAGGAAACAGGGGCGAAUACCGCAUAGGAGCUCCUGCUGCAUGGUGGGGGUUGGAAAGUUUCGGCGGUUGGGGAUGGACUCGCGGCUUAUCAGCUUGUUGGUGGGGUAGUGGCUCACCAAGGCUUUGACGGGUAGCCGGCCUGAGAGGGUGACCGGCCACAUUGGGACUGAGAUACGGCCCAGACUCCUACGGGAGGCAGCAGUGGGGAAUAUUGCACAAUGGGCGGAAGCCUGAUGCAGCAACGCCGCGUGCGGGAUGACGGCCUUCGGGUUGUAAACCGCUUUCGCCUGUGACGAAGCGUGAGUGACGGUAAUGGGUAAAGAAGCACCGGCUAACUACGUG
rnacentral:rRNA from 1 species